rnacentral:rRNA from 1 species
ACAAACGCUGGCGGCGUGCCUAAUACAUGCAAGUCGAACGGGUAUAUGGCUUCGGUCGUAUACUAGUGGCGCACGGGUGAGUAACGCGUGGAUAAUCUGCCCUCAAGUGUGGAAUAACUAGUCGAAAGAUUGGCUAAUGCCACAUAAGACCACGAAAUCUGCGGAUUUUGUGGCCAAAGAUUUAUCGCUUGAGGAUGAGUCCGCGUGGGAUUAGCUAGUUGGUGAGGUAAUGGCUCACCAAGGCAGUGAUCUCUAACUGGUCUGAGAGGAUGACCAGUCACACUGGAACUGAGACACGGUCCAGACUCCUACGGGAGGCAGCAGUAGGGAAUAUUGCGCAAUGGGGGAAACCCUGACGCAGCGACGCCGCGUGAGUGAUGAAGGUCUUCGGAUCGUAAAGCUCUGUCGUAUGGGAAAAAGUUCUGAUUGUACCAUGCAAGAAAGGAUCGGCUAACUUCGU